AGAGUUUGAUCCUGGCUCAGAUUGAACGCUGGCGGCAUGCCUUACACAUGCAAGUCGAACGGUAACAGGUCUUCGGAUGCUGACGAGUGGCGAACGGGUGAGUAAUACAUCGGAACGUGCCCGAUCGUGGGGGAUAACGCAGCGAAAGCUGUGCUAAUACCGCAUACGAUCUACGGAUGAAAGCGGGGGACUCGCAAGGGCCUCGCGCGGACGGAGCGGCCGAUGGCAGAUUAGGUAGUUGGUGGGAUAAAAGCUUACCAAGCCGACGAUCUGUAGCUGGUCUGAGAGGACGACCAGCCACACUGGGACUGAGACACGGCCCAGACUCCUACGGGAGGCAGCAGUGGGGAAUUUUGGACAAUGGGCGCAAGCCUGAUCCAGCCAUGCCGCGUGCAGGAUGAAGGCCUUCGGGUUGUAAACUGCUUUUGUACGGAACGAAAAAGCCUUCUCUAAUAAAG
rnacentral:rRNA from 1 species